CAGUCACAGGCCCUAGCCUUGGGCUACCGGUCCCCCCGCUGGUGUUCAGGGAACAUUUCCUGAUAGGGUGGCUUGGGAGAAGGGGCCAGCUUCCCCAUCGCAGUGUGCUGGCAUGACGUGGGUCGAGAGAGCCGCUCGCGGAGGCUGUUCUUUAGGGAAGGAAGACUAGAGGAACAGGCAGCGAUGGUCUCCUGGGACAAUUUCCCGACACCGCUCCACCUCUGGAGGAACACCUGA
rnacentral:lncRNA from 1 species